AAAGAGUUUGUGUACACCUGCGGAUCUUUCUUUCCCCCUUUUUUGGCACUUGAUGGAAUUGAACUGCAGAAACAAUUGAGUUUUUCCCAUACAGGAGUUUAGGAGAUUGAAGUUUUUGUGAUGGAGGGAGGAGAUUUUCCUGUUAGGAGAUGGGAGGACCUUGAUAAUGAUAUCUGGGUGAAGAUACUCCAGUUUUUUGACCUUUUUGAAUUGUCUGCUGGACUUGCUCAUGUUUGUAAUGUGUGGCAAUUGGCUCGUUGUGAUCAACUUCUCUGGGAGACACUGAACUUGUCGGUAGGAUGUCUCUGAAGCAAAAAAUGAAAAAAUGUUAGACUGUUGACCAGAAUCAAGUUACAGGUAUGAGAGAUAUGAUGGCACUUCCAUUUGGCAGUGAGGAGUUGUAGGUACUCUUUAUUAUUAAAGUUUGACAGCCAACACCUGCCAAUGCGUGGGGGAUUUUAUGGUCAUUUCCUCGUAUCGGAAUCUCACUCCUCAUCAAAGCUACACUAUCAUCCCACAGUUUUCACCCAAUUAUUUCACACACUGAAGUGAACCAACAAUCUAAAG